AAAUACUGCCCCUUCCCCAAUUAAAAAAGAUCCAAAAACCCUAAGAGAUUCCCUAUGUAUACUCUCUUCGCAUUCAAUGUAAAGGGGGAUUUUUUGGGUCGCCUUUUUCUUUCUGACGGAGAUUACUAGAAAAUUAUGGGAGUUUUAGAUGGAGAUUUUUCACUAAGGAGAAAAAAGCUUGAGAGGACUAUUUAGUACACGCGUAAAAUAUACCUUUUGGAUAGAAGAGUUAGUACUUUGGUGUUUAAGUUCGAUCUUCAGUUCUAAUCAUAUUCUUACUGUUCAUGGGCAAGGUCUCCCGUGGUGAAGGUCGACGCCAAGUUACUACUGUCCUAGUCACUGAACCUAAAUAGCUAUGUCACUCCCAAUUAUUUUUAGUUUUUUAGUUUUUGAUAGAUAUUUUUAUUUGAGUUGUGCUCUGUAUAAAUUUCUAUUUGUUUGAAUCAUGUAAAAACCAAGUG
rnacentral:misc_RNA from 1 species